rnacentral:tRNA from 1 species
AGCAGUGUGGCUCAGUGGAAAGAGCCCCGGCUCCGGAGUCGGAGGUCAGGGGUUCGAAUCCCGGCUUUGCCA